rnacentral:lncRNA from 1 species
AUAAUUUCUCUUUCUUAUCUUCCUCUGAGCUUUCUGCUCUCCGAUUACGCUAUCAUUAUCAGAAAGAAGAAUCUCACAGUGCCUUGGUGGUAUAGUUUCUCCUAUGUAAGUUUUAUCCACGUAUAACCACUUGGAAGAGGGGAAGAAAUGCAGAUAAUGUAAUCUGAAAAUAACACAGAGAAGAAUGAUCCUAAAGAGGAGUGUAGACACAUUAUGGCAAAGGAGACACAGGCUACAAUGCUGAAACUUUGCUGCGUGAACAAUAAGCCAUGGAAGCUUGUUUAUUGCUAUCAGCUUUGUGAGAAAAUAUCAUUGUCUCCAGGCCUUUAUACCAGUAUAAUGAUAUGAAGAGAGGAAGCUGUCUGUUAAAACUGAGAGAAAACUACUUGUAAUAGCUAAAAUUCAGCACAACUACAAGGUGCCUGCUACUUUGGUCAGUGGCCUAAUGUGUGGUAUUCAUCAAGUAAUAUAUUGAUACCCCAGAGCAGGCUAGUUUGCCUCCUUACUCUGCAUAGGAAGAAAUGAAGAGAAGAAGGAAGGAAAAAAAAAAAAAAAAAAGAAAAAUCAAGUGUUACUUCAUAAAUUUUGAAACGUUGAAUAACACUUCACUUUAAGUACAUUUUAAUGCAUUGCCACACAGUACUUGCACAUAGGCUAGGCUGCUUAAUAUAAGUCUGAUCUCCUCUAGAAAUGUAAAGCACGAAUUUUCUACCACACCAAUUUGAAAUUGAAUGUGGGUUAUCUGCCUUGUAUGUGUACUGAUUUUUUAAAAGAAAAGACCUGUAUGUGACCCGCAGAGUUGCUAUGCCAAUGAUGUCUUGGUCUUUUUAAUAAGGUAUUUAUGAAUACUUUCAGUGAAAAUACUGUCUCUUGGUGGAGUUUUUCAUUUGAUACCACAUCUGGGUCUUUCUGAUAGAAUAUGAAAUCUCUGACUUUUGACACCUGCUUUAUAGAGUCAGCCUGUGUUUAUAAUUUCCAAGUAAUAUUUGGAAGGCUAGAAAAAUAUGAAGAAAGCAAUCCAUGCAGAUAGGUCUCUGGAUGACAAGAAAAGAUCAUUAAACCUUUCAAAGUUUGGCCAACUGAAUCCCAGAUCUUACAAGUUAGCCACCAAGACAAGUCACCAAGCUUAAAAGUAAACAAAAAAUGAAGACAUGUCUAAUUUAGCUGCUGCUACUAAUAUGGCUUGGGUUUAUCUUUGAGAUCCUUACUGAAUACCCUUUGAUUAAUUAAAUGAUAUAAUUUAUUUUGAAGUUUUAUUACCAUGAGAUUAUUUCCUGUCUAUUUCAGAAAGAUUUAAUAAAGUUGCUGUGACAAAAUCUACA